CCUACGGGAGGCAGCAGUGAGGAAUAUUGGUCAAUGGGCGGGAGCCUGAACCAGCCAAGUAGCGUGCAGGAUGACGGCCCUACGCGUUGUAAACUUCUUUUAUACGGGAAUAACGCGCCUUACGCGUGGGGCUUUGAGUGUACCUGAUGAAAAAGGACCGGCUAAUUCCGUGCCAGCAGCCGCGGUAAUACGUAGGGGCCGAGCGUUAUCCGGAUUUAUUGGGUUUAAAGGGAGCGUAGACGGUGAAGUAAGCCUGAAGUGGAAGCCCGCGGCCCAACCGCGGAACUGCUCUGGGAACUGUUGUGCUUGAGUGCGGGAGGGGUAAGCGGAAGUCCUGGUGUAGCGGUGAAAUGCGUAGAUAUCAGGAGGAACACCGGUGGCGAAGGCGGCUUACUGGACUAUAACUGACGUUGAGGCUCGAAAGCGUGGGGAGCGAACAGGAUUAGAUACCCGAGUAGUC
rnacentral:rRNA from 1 species